ensembl:lncRNA
GCGUGGGGUGGGUUGGGGAAGCUGGACAUUAAUCUGCCCCUGUGAGCAACGACUCUCUUUUUCUUGGAUGUUAAGGUGCCACUGGAUAUCUCGCUCAUCAUGAUGUAUAAGUCACCGCGCUCUCUGACAGCUACGAACAGACUGUUCUGGAAAAAGAAGACAAAAAAAAAAUGAAGAAAAGACAGAACUUACUAACGUCUGUGCUGGACAGGGUGCCGGCGUUUAAGGCUUCGCAGCAGCCUUUGUGUUCAAGCGACAAUCCACUGUAAAGACCAAGCAAAAUGGACAUGGGGAGUCUUCUUUUCUUUUUUCGUGACCUUUUUGUAUUGCAACUAGGAGUGUGAAUUAUGAAGCCACAAAUUGUUUGAAAGGGUGACGGUUCCACAAAGAGCAAUGGACAAAUGGAUGGUCACGAGGGCAACAAUAAGGGAGGAGAAGGAAGAUGACAGCUACUGAAACUGCCAGCAGAGUGAACUCAGUAUAUAAAUAAAAUGACCCUUAUGGCGUUGGAAUACUGUCAAAAGCAAAGCAUUCAUGUUGUAAACAACCAGGAGUUAUAUGUGUGCGUCCACUGGAGCUGCUGCAAAACCCCAGAAUGAGAAAUCACCUCUUGUCUCUUGGGUAGAUACAAACACACACUUCUUUAAAGACAAACUCGAUUUACUGUAUCGAUGGCAAUGGAGUGCAGGCUUUUAGAGCUCAUCUAGCUCUGUCGGAUAUAAUGUUAAUUCUACUAUUAACAUGUUCCCUGAACUGCUUUCUUCAUACAUUAUACAUAAAGCAUAUGGAGUAAAACGUGAAAAAAAGGCUCUGUUUAAACAGAAAAAGCUAAAUGAAAUCUUACAGUCGCCCUUAAAUAUCACUCAGCAUGUCUGUAGCCUCUUUGACACUGACGCCAAACAGGACAGUGUAAAUAUAAACUGUCAUUUACUUUGGCUGUUCUGGGAGCACGCUCCUCUCUAAAAGCAGAUCAAUAUAUUUGGAAUGAUCUUAGAGAGAGAAGCAAUCCCGUAUCAGUCGCUCUUUUUCCUUGUUAAACACCAGCUCACGACUGUACACCAGCUCUUUGAACGCUGGCAGCAAGUAAGCAUGGCAGGAAAGAAAAAGAGAGGGCGGUAAAAGGGAGGAAACCAACACUAAUACAACGUUGAGAUCUUUUAAAUUCAUGCUCCGUUCAGCAGGAUGGCCAAUGACUUAAUCCAGGAACAGGCUCCUGGUGAUAAACGCCAUGCGUGUGCCAUAUGCUUUGAAAAAAACAGGAUUAAAAAGUUAAAUAUACCAGAGUUUGGUCAUUUAGACUCCGUUCCAAAAAGGUCGUGUUCACGCAUGAGACUCCUCUCCUUCCCAAUCCUUCUGUCUUUCUCUUUCUUUCUUUAGAGAAAAGAGCAGACCUAUAUUUCAAAUCACUGAAGAAAGGACUGUUGAAAUGCAGCUGCAGGUUCACCGCACUACUAAUUCUUUGUCAUUUCAAUGAGCAGAGGGUCUUCAUUUGAUAUCCGAGUGCCAUGAACCGCCUCUCUUCCACUGUCCUAAGAGCAGAAAUGCCUUUCCAAAAAAAAAAAAAACAGCCCAAAUGUUCAGCUGCCGUCCCAUUGGAACAACAUUUUAAAACCUGGCUAAUGUCUGUACUCACUAGCCUUCAAUUAUCGCCUGCACCGUAUUAGACAUGCUAUUUCACCUUUUCCUCUAAUCGCACUGUAAUCACCAGCCUCUAUACAUUAGCUGCAACCGAGUGAAAAAUCACAGCGAUAAUUACUUGGACCAAAUGACGGGAGAGAUGGUCCCCUGAAUGCACAUGGAUGACAGAAGGAAGAUUAGAGAGAAUUAUGUUUGUGCCUACUCCCUGGCAAGGCUGCUGACAGCUGACCUGGCACCAAUAAUACUGUCGAAUUCAGCCGAAAAGACGAUAGAGGACGUGGGAUAAAACCUCCCAUAUCAUCACAUUAAUAUUGCAAAGCGGAUUGACGUUACCCCAAAAAAUGUAAAGAGAUACGUCGAUGAAUAAAGGUGUGAAACGGUUUUGCAUUUAGAGCGAACGUCGCAACAGUAGCUGCUUAACAGUUGACAAAUGUUCUGCAAAUCCUUAAAUUCCGUAGAAGGACCUGCACUUUGGCCUCGGUUAUUGGGCUUUUUCGUUCAGCAUGCAAUUGAGUCUCAAAUUAUUUAUUAAGUAGCCACACAUUUAUACAAUAAAAGUACAAUCCUUUCCUUCCCUUUCUCUUAUCCUUGCUGGGACACCUGCGAAGCACACAGCUGUAGAUUUAGAAAUUGUGUGAGCAAGGUAGUUCUUCAGAUUCAAUUCAGAUGGGCAUCAAAAGUUACAACUUUAAAAUAAAAGUAAAACUGCCUUCAAAUAAAAGUAGGGGAAGAAGCCUGUUGUCCUUCUCAACCAUUAAUCUGAUGACAGUUAUAAUACCUGUCAGGCUGGACAUGAACCGUAUCUUAUAUCACAUAGUGUACCAGUUCCCACUGCUAAUGGCAGGUUGAGUCCACCGGUGAGUUUAAACCCAGCCAGUAUCACGCUGCCGCCUCGGCUUCCAGUGCAGUGUUCAUGUAGCUUCUCUGCUAUGCCAGGGCUAAAUGUAGGCAAUGCGAAACCAGCCCUUCAACACUUUCAAACAAGGGUGCUGUUAUUACUUUAACACUCCGGGGAGGUUGUUACUGGAGUGAAGUGCAUUAUGAACAGAAAUAGCUGUGAAACAUGCAUCGGAGCUGCCAAAACAAAAACAAAAAAGAGGGUUUUUAGAUAUUUCCAUUCCCCCCGUGUAUUGGCACAAGUGUAUGCCAUCCCAGCUCACAGCCUCUGUCCUGUCUGCUCUUAGCCCAGGUCAUGUUUCACCUCCAGGAGCCAUGACACACCCAUCGGGCACCAGCCAGGCUGCAGCCCAAAUGUUAUUGGAUUUUUGUCCUCGUAACUUGACAUUUUAGCCGAAAAGAACUAGAAGAAGUCAAUGUGAGGGUGCAAAGCUUUCCCACACAAUAAAAAUGACAAUGGCAAAGUCAAACAUAGUGUCCUUCAUCUGCUCAGUGGUCAUACAACAUCUAACCAGUGCAACCAGUUCUCUUACAUUCAGCAUUUCAACCACUUAUUCGCUUCUCUGACUCUGACGCAUGCACUCACUCGGACCCUGCAUCGUUAAAUUAGAAAGGGGCGGAGUUCUAGACUGUAUACACAUAGUGCACGCACAUCCUCGGUUGCAACUACGCCGUGAGGUCAGUCCUUUAGACGCCCUGCACGAGCAAUAGAACUGCUAGAGCGCGUCUAUGAGUCUCUAACCCCCUGGGUGCAUAACACUCACCCUAAAAUAGCAGUAAUUGUCAAGGAAAGGAAGUGAAAUGUAAUUGACUGAAAGUGGAGAGAUAAUUAAAGGAACCUGUUGGACAGGAGGAAAGAAAUUAAUGCCUCUCGUUUAAUGGCUGCUUUGGGAGUGAGCUUUUCCGUCAUCUCACUUCGGCAUACAGCAGGUUUCGCUGUGGAAAUCAGAUUUGGCCUAGAGAAAAAAAAGGUGGAGGAGGAAAGGGCACUGGGUGGUGGGGGUUCUGUGAGCUAAACCGAAACAAAAAUCACUCCCAAUACUCAGGGCGUCGGGCGCUAUGAUGUCAUGAUCAGUGGAGAGGAUCAGAGCCUUGCCUUACCCCUGAUCCCGGGAGGUCGAGCAGAAUUACCAAUAUGAGGUCAGUGUUAUAAGAUUGUGUAAGAAUUGUUCUUUUGGAUUUAGAGUAUCACCCCCAAAUUCCACCAAGCGACCAACAAACAACAAACAUGCCAUCAGACACACGAGGACGCACAGUGAACCGCUGGCAGUGCGCAAUUAUGUUUAACAGCAUGGCUGACAGUGAUGAGGACAAAUACUUUUUUUUAUCCCUUUGUGUAAAUAGCCUAUUAAAUGAAGAAAAAAAUAAAGAACAGUUGAAGCCUGUAUAGCAGCUUGUGUUGAGAAGCCCCAACUCUGUGGGACAAUGAUGUCACUAUAAAAUGUAUCCACAGCAGUGCAGGGAUCAAGGAGAUUUUGGUUCCUUUAAGCCCCUUAAGUUCGGCCUCUGAACAUGCAUCCUACAACCCUAAGAGUCGGACCAAGGCUUAGAGAGCAUUUGCCUUAGUGUCAAACUUAAGCCACAGCCCCGAAGUGAUCCGGUAAUUAAGAUUUUGUGUACACCGACAUGUCAUGAUGUUUCUGACAGAAGAGAGAUCGCCUGUGCAGUAAUUGGAUUAGUCCAAUUGGGGCUGAUGAACAGAUAUGACAGUGACAGUAGAGUUCAUCCAUCUGCAUGCUUUCCGCUUGACAGUGCGACAAAAGAAAAAAAAAGGCUACCAAAACACUUUUUAAAAUUCCGCAGUUUCGCAAAAAGAAAUCUCCAUGUGACAGUUUGUUCAACAUGUACAUAAAUCAUUUAACACAUGGUGGAACCCACAUGUAAGUAGUUAGGCUGAGAUCGCAGGAUGGGGAGGAACAAGAGAGCAUUUUUUGGAGAACCCAGCAGAACCCUCAGCCAGUUUGACCACACCUGAUACGGCACCUGUACAUACAAUAAAGCUUAUUUUUCAAUUCUGUUGAACCUUCUUUACAGGCCAUACAAUAGAUCAUGUUUAAACCUAAAAAAAAUAAAAGUUUAUAUAUUUCAGUGAAACUAAGAGUGGAAAACUAUGAAAUAACACUUAUUUGGUGAAGCACUGAUGUAUAAAAUGGGAUUUUAUACUUAUGUUGGUAAAUGGUUCUUCCUUAUCUCUUUUCUUUAUGGUAUUUUCUUCUGAGGCUGGAUUUGACCCAAUGUCAUGAGGUUUGUUCAUAUAAACUUUGCUAACUGAAAGAUGUUAAAUCAAUACAAUAAUUAAUAACUGCACUGUAAAAGGGUGAUUGGUGGUGCAAGUCAUGUUGAUUCAGAACAAAUCAACACAAUCAAAACAAUUUGAUUGCAUGUUACAAACAGAUCCCAUUAGAGGCUGUUUUUUUGUUUGUUAAAGGAAAAAAAGACAUAGAAAUACAAAACAGAAAUCAAACUUUGCAGCCAGAUUGGUUUUGAGAACAAUGCUGUCAUAUCUCAUAGUGGUGGUUAUGCCAUGGAUCAUUUCCUCUAAUGUUUUUCUUCUUGUCUUUCUCUGUCACUGUGAAAUUGCAUUGUUUCAUUUUAGCAGCAUCUUUUAUUUAUUUUCUAGAAGGGUUGGUGGUUCUCAUUGUCAUAUCUGAUUUGAACUUCUCUGUUUUUACUUAUGGGAAGCCUCCACAGUUUGUUAUCUAAUGUGACUCAAUCCACUGAAGGCGUUGUACCAACGGUAGAUAAUGCCACUUUGCUUUACUCCAGUCAGGUUGAAAUGUUAAUGUGAGAAGGGAAUUCUGCCUUAAACCCAGCCUGUUCCCUCUGACAGCACUACCUGUGAGCAGUGGUCAUGAACACAUUUUUGGGGAUGCCAAAUGUUCUGUCUUCAAAAGUGAAGAAACUAUCUGUUGUCAAGACAAACACUUUGCCGGGGUCAGAUUUUUGCCUCAAGCCCAUUCUGACACAAAAAAAGAACGAGGUCUUCCACCUCCAUUUCCAUUGGUUGCCAGGACCAAAAAGUAAACACACUCGGCCAACUGAGCGGUUUGCUCCAAUCAAGCAUUCAAUGAGAGCCUUUAAGGGAUUCACAUUCAGUCACAGGUGAUUUUGCACUGUGGACCUUUAUGUCAUGAAUCAUUACAUUCCCAGCUUCGCUACCUAAUUUCUACUUGUCCGUUUGUUCCCAUGCAAAAUGAAUUAAUCACAACAUAUUUGGGUAUUUCUAUUUCCAACUGAUGGAAUAAUCAUAUAUUUCAUUUUUUUUCUUGAACAAACUGUUUUCUUUUUGUGUCAAACAGAGAUGUAAUUUGAAAUAGCGUCGGCGCGGAUCUGUUUCCCUGAUUCGGGGUGAUCUUCCCAUAGUGCUCCUGAACUCUGUAGUUCUCUAGUUCAUUAUAUUCUGCUUAGACUAAAAUAAAGCACAGUCCUGUAGAAGAUUUGGCCUGUUUUGUCCUUCCUUUUCUUAUCUGCUCUCAGAGCUCGACCGGAUAAUUCCUCCAGGUGUGAAUCUAUCGUGGCGUGCAUGCAUCACGCCGUUUGCAAAGAUGUGAAUUGUUCGAGGUCCUCUUGUCACUUGGACUGCGGAGGGAAUGCAUUUAGAACAUGCCAUUGUAUUAAUUGAGCUAACAGCACUAACCAUAUCCGAAUACCAAAUUAGAUGAGAUGGUUAGUGGAAAACUGUUUAAAAAGGGCGAAUAAUGCAUAAUAAAUGGAAGGGAGAUUGGAAUAGGGAGGGGAAUAAAUUGUGAAUUGAUUAAAGGGAAAUGGAUAUGCAGCUCUUGUCUCGAGGAGCUGUUAUAGUGGAAACAAAAUCAGGUGCAAUUUGUGCUGCUGGUUAUCGUCUGUGAAUAAGAAAGAGGAGGUCAAUCAAUUAAUCAGAGGUUUUCCUCAUGCUGCUUUUUAUUGACAGAGACGCUGCGAUAAGAAGGGUCAGGUCACAUUGGAGCCUAUAUGGUCAGUGUCCUUUUUUUGACCCGGAGUCUCCUCAACCCUCAUUAAUGCUCCGAUUCAGCCGUCAGCAACCAUCAGAUGCCACAAAACCUAUUAGAGGGGAAUGAAAAGUCACAUUGUGUCAAAC